GAUGAACGCUGGCGGCGUGCCUAAUACAUGCAAGUCGAGCGAACUGAUUAGAAGCUUGCUUCUAUGACGUUAGCGGCGGACGGGUGAGUAACACGUGGGCAACCUGCCUGUAAGACUGGGAUAACUUCGGGAAACCGAAGCUAAUACCGGAUAGGAUCUUCCCCCUCACGGGAGAUGAUUGAAAGAUGGUUUCGGCUAUCAAUUACAGAUGGGCGCGCGGUGCAUUAGCUAGUUGGUGAGGUAACGGCUCAGCAAGGCAACGAUGCAUAGCCGAACUGAGAGGGUGCUCGGCCACACUGGGACUGAGACACGGCCCAGACUCCUACGGGAGGCAGCAGUAGGGAAUCUUCCGCAAUGGACGAAAGUCUGACGGAGCAACGCCGCGUGAGUGAUGAAGGCUUUCGGGUCGUAAAACUCUGUUGUUAGGGAAGAACAAGUACGAGAGUAACUGCUCGUACCUUGACGGUACCUAACCAGAAAGCCACGGCUAACUACGUGCCAGCCGCCGCGGUAACAC
rnacentral:rRNA from 1 species